rnacentral:lncRNA from 1 species
AAUUUCUUUGUUAAUUAUUUUUCCACUCCGAAGGGUUGUGACAGACUUUACUUGCUCAAAUUUAGGUUGGGAUGAACUUGCUUCAUGGACCUCAUGUUGACCCUUUGGGUUAGAUUGAGGUUGGACUGGAAAUGUCCCUCUUUCCCUAACAUUAAGUUGAGCCUCAAUUCUACCUACAGAAUUUUUAAGUUCUUGGAGU